UACGUAGGGUGCGAGCGUUAAUCGGAAUUACUGGGCGUAAAGCGUGCGCAGGCGGUUCGUUAAGUCAGAUGUGAAAGCCCCGGGCUCAACCUGGGAACUGCAUUUGAAACUGGCGGGCUUGAGUGUGGCAGAGGGGGGUGGAAUUCCGCGUGUAGCAGUGAAAUGCGUAGAGAUGCGGAGGAACACCGGUGGCGAAGGCGGCCACCUGGACGGUAACUGACGCUGAGACGCGAAAGCGUGGGGAGCAAACAGG
rnacentral:rRNA from 1 species